GAUGAGCCCGCGGCCUAUCAGCUUGUUGGUGAGGUAAUGGCUCACCAAGGCGACGACGGGUAGCCGGCCUGAGAGGGCGACCGGCCACACUGGGACUGAGACACGGCCCAGACUCCUACGGGAGGCAGCAGUGGGGAAUAUUGCGCAAUGGGCGAAAGCCUGACGCAGCAACACCGCGUGAGGGAUGACGGCCUUCGGGUUGUAAACCUCUUUCAGCUCCGACGAAGCGAAAGUGACGGUAGGAGCAGAAGAAGCACCGGCUAACUACGUGCCAGCAGCCGCGGUAAUACGUAGGGUGCGAGCGUUGUCCGGAAUUAUUGGGCGUAAAGAGCUUGUAGGCGGUUUGUCGCGUCUGCCGUGAAAAUCCGGGGUCAACUCCGGGCCUGCGGUGGAUACGGGCGGACUAGAGUCCGGUAGGGGAGACUGGAAUUCCUGGUGUAGCGGUGGAAUGCGCAGAUAUCAGGAGGAACACCGGUGGCGAAGGCGGGUCUCUGGGCCGGAACUGACGCUGAGGAGCGAAAGCGUGGGGAGCGAACAGGAUUAGAUACCCUGGUAGUCCACGCCGUAAACGGUGGGCGCUAGGUGUGGGGAUCGU
rnacentral:rRNA from 1 species